UGAAACUCAAAGGAAUUGGCGGGGGCCCGCACAAGCGGUGGACCAUGGGGUUUAAUUGGAAGCAACGCGAAGACCCUUACCAGGUCUUGACAUCUUCUGACAACCCUAGAGAUAGGGUUUCUCCUUCGGGAGCAGAGUGACAGGGGGUGCAUGGUUGUCGUCAGCUCGUGUCGUGAGAUGUUGGGUUAAGUCCCGCAACGAGCGCAACCCUUGAUUUUAGUUGCCAUCAUUAAGUUGGGCACUCUAAGGUGACUUCCGGUGACAAUCCGGAGGAAGGUGGGGAUGACGUCAAAUCAUCAUCCCCCUUAUGACCUGGGCUACACACGUGUUACAAUGGACGGUACAAAGAGCUGCAAGACCGCGAGGUGGAGUUAAUCUCAUAAAACCGUUCUCAGUUCGGAUUGUAGGCUGCAACUCGCCUACACGAAGCGGGAAUCGUUAGUAAUCGCGGAUCAGCAUACCGCGGUGAAUACGUUCCCGGGCCUUGUACCCCCCCCCCUUCCGGCCACGAGAGUUUGUAACACCCGAAGUCGGUGGGGUACCCUUUUUGGGAAGC
rnacentral:rRNA from 1 species